rnacentral:tRNA from 1 species
CGCAGAUCGCCCCGGGGGGCCGGCGCCCUCAGCGCGCCGGCAGCGCGUACGUCCCGAAGUUCGAGAUCUCGAUCUGCGGC